GGUUAAGCGACUAAGCGUACACGGUGGAUGCCCUGGCAGUCAGAGGCGAUGAAGGGCGUGCUAAUCUGCGAUAAGCGCCGGUAAGGUGAUAUGAACCGUUAUAACCGGCGAUACCCGAAUGGGGAAACCCAGUGUGAUUCGUCACACUAUCAUUAACUGAAUCCAUAGGUUAAUGAGGCGAACCGGGGGAACUGAAACAUCUAAGUACCCCGAGGAAAAGAAAUCAACCGAGAUUCCCCCAGUAGCGGCGAGCGAACGGGGAGGAGCCCAGAGCCUGAAUCAGCAUGUGUGUUAGUGGAAGCGUCUGGAAAGGCGCGCGAUACAGGGUGACAGCCCCGUACACAAAAGCGCAUGUGCUGUGAGCUCGAUGAGUAGGGCGGGACACGUGGUAUCCUGUCUGAAUAUGGGGGGACCAUCCUCCAAGGCUAAAUACUCCUGACUGACCGAUAGUGAACCAGUACCGUGAGGGAAAGGCGAAAAGAACCCCGGCGAGGGGAGUGAAAAAGAACCUGAAACCGUGUACGUACAAGCAGUGGGAGCACAGGUUUACCUGUGUGACUGCGUACCUUUUGUAUAAUGGGUCAGCGACUUAUAUUCUGUAGCAAGGUUAACCG
rnacentral:rRNA from 2 species